rnacentral:RNase_P_RNA from 1 species
AAAGCAGGACGGUCCGUCGCCGGCCCUUCGGGGCGGGAGGAAAGUCCGGGCAACGCAGGGCACCGUGCUUCCUAACGGGAAGUCGCCCGGGAGGGUGAGUACACGCAACAGAGAACAGACCGCCUACGGGUAAGGGUGAAACGGCGGGGUAAGAGCCCACCGCCUGUGCAGCAAUGCGCAGGGCAUGGCGAACCACGGGUUGCAAAACCAAGUAUACCGACGUAUGUAGGACGGCCCGUCCGAUGUCGGGGGGUAGGUCGCUUGAGGCCGUCGGUGACGGCGGUCCUAGAUAGAUGACGGACACCCUUCGGGGUACAUAACCCGGCUUACAGUCCUGCUUGAAUA